UACGUAGGCAGCAAGCGUUGUUCGGAGUUACUGGGCGUAAAGGGCGCGUAGGCGGUCAGCACAAGUCAGUUGUGAAAUCUCCGGGCUUAACUCGGAAAGGUCAACUGAUACUGUGCGACUAGAGUGCGGAAGGGGCAACUGGAAUUCUCGGUGUAGCGGUGAAAUGCGUAGAUAUCGAGAGGAACACCUGCGGCGAAGGCGGGUUGCUGGGCCGACACUGACGCUGAUGCGCGAAAGCCAGGGGAGCGAACGGG
rnacentral:rRNA from 1 species